UGCCACUACAAAUACUAGGCCUCACAGGGGC
rnacentral:piRNA from 1 species